rnacentral:rRNA from 1 species
UACGUAGGCAGCAAGCGUUGUUCGGAGUUACUGGGCGUAAAGGGUGUGUAGGCGGUUCUUUAAGUUUGGGGUGAAAUCUCCCGGCUCAACCGGGAGGGUGCGCCGAAUACUGAGGGACUCGAGUGCGGGAGAGGAAAGUGGAAUUCCUGGUGUAGCGGUGAAAUGCGUAGAGAUCCGGAGGAACACCGAAGGCGAAGGCAGUGUCCUGGCGAGUGACUGACGCUGAGGUGCGAAAGCCAGGGGAGCAAACGGG